rnacentral:tRNA from 1 species
GCCUGGGUGGCUCAGUUGGUUGAGCGUCUGACUUUGGCUCAGGUCAUGAUCUCACGGUUCGUGGGUUCGAGCCCCACGUGGGGCU